UACAGGGGGGGCAAGCGUUGUUCGGAAUUACUGGGCGUAAGGGGUCUGUAGGUGGCUUGCUAAGUCAGACGUGAAAUCCCUCAGCUUAACUGGGGAACUGCGUCUGAUACUGGCAAGCUUGAGUGCAGGAGAGGAACGCGGAAUUCCAGGUGUAGCGGUGAAAUGCGUAGAUAUCUGGAGGAACACCGGUGGCGAAGGCGGCGUUCUGGACUGCAACUGACACUGAGAGACGAAAGCCAGGGGAGCAAACGGG
rnacentral:rRNA from 1 species